AUGGGGAAACUGAGCAAAGGCGUGGGGCAGCUUGGCUGGGGGCUCUGGGAGGGAGCAGAGAGAAGGGAGGCUCAGCGAUGGGGCAGAUGGGGCCUGGACGUUGGUGGGGAGAUGAAGUGUGAGGGCAGUGGAGAGGCCUGGGGCAUGUGGGUGCUUUAGAGGGGCAGGUGUGGGAGAGUAGGGUGGUUUGGGGGCAGGUUGGCUGGGGUAAGGCUGAGUGGAGCUGCCUCUCCAGUCAGGAGCAGCUCAGCUACCAGCAGUAAGGAUCCCAGGAGGUGGUAGGUGCUAACUCUUGUGCAACUGCCCUCACCGAAUGGGUACAUUUCAGCCUGCCCUUGGCCAAAAGGAAAAAAAAAAAAAAAUCUCAUGGACUGAGCACAUGGCCUCCCAAGCUGUAGUCUUGGCUCUCAGUCUUGGUGUUGAACUUGGUAGGUUGUUGAGCCUUUGUGUGCUUUGGUAUCUCCAUCUAUGAAGCAGAGAUAACAGUUGGCUUCAUGCAGGGAUUAAUUAUCGCAUCUUGUAGUCACGUAUUUGUUUAUUUGUUUUUACUAUAGAUUACAGCUGGAGGAAUUCUAAACAGUCCACUUCUCCUUGUCUUGGUGUUUGAGCGCAUUGUGCUCCCGCCUGAACAGAGGAAAUCACUGAGGUGAUUUCUGUAUGUGGCAAGUUGUCUGUGUCAGCCUGGCAGCUUUGUCCAUAAGCAGCAGUGGUUAUUGUCUCUUGGUUUCCCAACCCCACUGUCCUCAAAGCUGCAGCUCUUCACUGGUUCCACAGACCUGCUUUGUCACAAAGUAUCAGUAACUUUGCAGAAGUCACUGCACCCUCUGCUGUGGAUCAACCCUGGCACCUCUCUGAAUGUAGUAUCUUGGCAGACCUGUCUUUCACAUACUAAGGCAUACCUCGGGUUCGAGUAGAAUCCUGCUCUUACGUCAAGCUCAAACCUCAUCGCUGCUCCCUGCGUUCAGCUGGAAAGGGACGGACACCAUUUAUGACUGAAUAUCCUGAGUCACCGAUUCCCAGCUGGCGUGUGCGCUGCAGUUCCGUCUCUUCCUUUCCGACUGCACUCCCUAGAGGAGAUCGGGAACAAUUGCAGUUGUCAGCUCCAGCGUGGUGUGUGCGCUUGUCAGGAACCACACAAUUGGUGGACGACCCCUGACUACGUCUAUGGGGUGAGCUGCCUGUGAUUUGUUACUGUAAGCCUGAUGUUUCCAUACUGGAAAAUAGAACAGGUGUAGGCAUAUUAAAAUAAAUCAGUUUCUUUAUAUUUACUAGUAAAAUAUCUACAUUGUGGAGAUGGUGAUAGAAUGUCUUCAUUAAAUAAUUGGUGAAGACCGGUGAUUCCAGUAAUGCUCUCACAGUAAGAUAAAUUGUGUGAAAGUGGAUGAAAACUAAGAAUCUAGAGAGGUGAUGAAAGGUGAAGUAGUUACUCCCUACACUGGCAAAGCUCUGCUAGCAGGGUCCACCAUGCAGGAGCCAACAGGUUAUUUGUCAGCCACUCUUGUCGUGCUGUGUUUGUUAUCGUGCUUGUGCAGUGUCCCAAAGAAAGGCUGCUGAAGCUCAGUGGGGAAAUAAUGCAACAUGUUGCUUUGUUAUUUGGUCUGACCAAAACAUUUUCACCAUGUAAUGCUUGAUGCUAGUGUUGUUUGUGGCUCUGGGGGAAGCUGAAACACAAAGCACUUCAUUGAGCUUUUUGAUCCAACAGGUCUUGACAUAUUGCUGCUGGACACGUCUCUGUGUCUGAUCUGAACUGCGACAGUUCCAUUCUGUCCUGCUAAAAUAACAACAUAUUAAACAAUACUUUCUGUCCAUGCUGUUUCCACCUAUUGACUAAAAAGUUAAAUUCUUACUAAGCUAGUUUUAAUUUUCAUGUCAUAAAAUAUUAGUUAAUGGUCAGCUGAUUUCCCUGGCAUGAAGACUGUAAAGUAUAUAACACAGAUUAAUGCUUGCCUGGGACCAAAUGAGUUGAAGCAGCUCCUUCUGCUGAAACACGGAGAUGAAAUACAGUGAAAUAUAGAGAUGCUCUGCAAACCAAAUCUUCGUUUACAACAGGUCACCAGUGUUUGCCUGGGACGGUCCAUCCUGUUAGCAGGCACUGAUCCUGCUAUGGAGGAGAUAUGUGGCUUGUGCUGACUCACGAAAGCAGGUGCAAGUUGCAUCAGUGAAAUAAGAAGUGUCUCACCUUAGAAGCAGGAUGUAGGUUUUGGUGUAAGAACUGUUAAAGAACCACCUUUAGAAGAAAGCUGGAGGAGAAAAUAUAUGAGAGACUCUGAAGCCUAACUUGAUGAAAUUCUGAUUCUUCUUGUUGCAUCAGAGGCUUGUUCCAAAUGAAAUAGGUGCACAGCUGUUAAUACCACUGCCUGAAGGGUCUUGGGAAAACAUGCACUGUAGCUGAAGACAGCAGUAGUCCUAAGGGGACUUUUCUGGGGUGGGUUGGCUGACAGCUGCUAAAAAACUUUCAUACUUGUUCCUCCUUUAUAGAUCUGACUCAUCUGUCCUAAAUACAGCAGUUUCAGUAUUUUCUUUUCUCUCCUAUCAUUUACCUUGUAUUUCAUAUCCUCCAAGCUUCUUUUUGUGUCUCUGGGCUUAAUUCUGUUAAAUCCAGUUGCUUUGGCUUCUACUCUGCCUGUGCUUUGCACCUGCUACAGAACCCCAGCAAACUUGGCAACCAACCCUUGGGCACUCCAGAGAAAACAACUGUCUAGACCAGGCACCUUCUGCCCAAUGCCCUGGAUGUACCCCAGAGCUCCCAGGCAUUACUCUGUAUUCAGAACAAUGUGUUGCUAUGCAAAUGGUUCCUUUCUGCUCUUCCUUUUACUUCCACAGAGAUAUGUGCACCGGACUUCUCAGCAGGCACUCGACUAAUGUUUAUUGAUCUUUUACAAAGUUCUGAUGCAAAGGAAGAUUGAUAAAAUCUUGCCCGGUGUUUUUGUGAACUCAUAAUUGCACCUGCCUCCUCCUAGGGAGUGAGGCAAAUGGGAGUGAGGGAACCAACAGAAUAAACAGCACCUUCUGCAGAGGCCUUAAAAGAGCCUCUAGUAUCCAGCAGAAUUCAGGAAGGUGUAUUACUCUUUCCUAAAAGGAGAAAUCAAAUCUUGGUGUGAAGAGUCCUAUGGCAUGAGCAGGGCAGAGAAGCCUUAAUGCAAAGUCACAAGCCAUUCCAGUUAAAGCCCCUGUUGCCCUAGGCAAACACAGAGCCUGUCAGCGUCCUGCAGCUUUCAUACAGAGAUGUGACCAAAAUAGCUUCACAACUUUACAAUGUGGCUAAAAAUAGCUUGCAGGUCAGCUUUUUUCUCAAAGGUAGUGGUGACAAUAGGGAGAGAGCACUCUUGCUGCUGUUCAGUGCAGGUAGAACUGGGGUAAACAAAGCAGGGACAGCAGCAGUUUAAUUAGCUAAGUAGCCUUGAGGAAAGAGAGAGGAGGGGUAAGAAAGGACUAAGGAGGUGCAGUGGAGAGAUGGACUAAAGUGUUAAAGGUGUGGUUAGACCCGCUGCCACUGGCCAAGUUAGUGUGAUUAUACACAAACAACUUCUCCCUGGGUUUUGUUUCCAUGAUGUUUAAGAGUUAUCAGUCUGUUCCUGUCUCCUUGUGGCCUGUGUCAGGAUGUGUCACUGGACUGGCUGGCCAGCCAGCACAGCGUGUUUCUUGCUCCUCAUUUCCAGACAGUGAACACAGCCCAUGACAUCACCUCUGGCCAGUGGCAGAUCAGAGGCCAGGCCAUGGCAAUGUCAAGUGUGUUUUGCUGUAGCCAUUCAGCCAGAGAGUUGAUCUUUUACAGUGCAAUUUGCAUGUGGAGAAAUCUGGACGGCCCUUCAUUCUAGGGGGAUUUCAGUAUUUGUUCUUGGGCCAAAAAUAGACUGUUUUUGUGGGGCUGAACUGUCUGUUUUUGUAGAGCAUUAAAUUUUACCAAAGGA